GUUAAGGUGGCCAAGCCCGGUAAUUGCGUAAAACUUAAACCUUUAUACUCAGAGAUUCAAAUCCUCUCCUUAACA
rnacentral:tRNA from 1 species